rnacentral:rRNA from 1 species
AACGUAGGAGACAAGCGUUAUCCGGAGUUACUGGGCGUAAAGGGCGUGUAGGUGGUUUCGUAAGUCUGGCGUGAAAUUUUUCGGCUUAACCGGGAAAGGUCGUCGGAUACUGCGGAGCUAGAGGACGGUAGAGGCGUGUGGAAUUCCGGGUGUAGUGGUGAAAUGCGUAGAGAUCCGGAGGAACACCAGUGGCGAAGGCGACACGCUGGGCCGUACCUGACACUGAUGCGCGACAGCAUGGGGAGCAAACAGG